GGACCCGCACAAGCGGUGGAGUAUGUGGCUUAAUUCGAUGCAACGCGAAGAACCUUACCUGGCCUUGACAUGCAUCUCUAAGCGUGUGAAAGCACGUGACCCUCGGGGAAUUUGCACAGGUGCUGCAUGGCUGUCGUCAGCUCGUGUCGUGAGAUGUUGGUUAAGUCCCGCAACGAGCGCAACCCUUGUGUCCUGUUGCCACUUCCGCUAGCGCGGAAAGCACUCUGGACAGACUGCCUCGUCUCAACGAGGAGGAAGGUGGGGAUGACGUCAAGUCAGUAUGGCCCUUACGGCCAGGGCUGCACACGUGCUACAAUGGUAGGUACAGAGGGCAGCGAAGCGGUUGGACGUGUAGCGAA
rnacentral:rRNA from 1 species